UUGAACUGAAGAGUUUGAUCCUGGCUCAGAUUGAACGCUGGCGGCAUGCCUUACACAUGCAAGUCGAACGGCAGCACGGGCUUCGGCCUGGUGGCGAGUGGCGAACGGGUGAGUAAUACAUCGGAACAUGUCCUGUAGUGGGGGAUAGCCCGGCGAAAGCCGGAUUAAUACCGCAUACGAUCCACGGAUGAAAGCGGGGGACCUUCGGGCCUCGCGUUAUAGGGUUGGCCGAUGGCUGAUUAGCUAGUUGGUGGGGUAAAGGCCUACCAAGGCGACGAUCAGUAGCUGGUCUGAGAGGACGACCAGCCACACUGGGACUGAGACACGGCCCAGACUCCUACGGGAGGCAGCAGUGGGGAAUUUUGGACAAUGGGGGCAACCCUGAUCCAGCAAUGCCGCGUGUGUGAAGAAGGCCUUCGGGUUGUAAAGCACUUUUGUCCGGAAAGAAAUCCUUGGCCCUAAUACAGUCGGGGGAUGACGGUACCGGAAGAAUAAGCACCGGCUAACUACGUGCCAGCAGCCGCGGUAAUACGUAGGGUGCGAGCGUUAAUCGGAAUUACUGGGCGUAAAGCGUGCGCAGGCGGUUUGCUAAGACCGAUGUGAAAUCCCCGGGCUCAACCUGGGAACUGCAUUGGUGACUGGC
rnacentral:rRNA from 1 species